rnacentral:rRNA from 1 species
GCGAGCGUUGUUCGGAAUUACUGGGCGUAAAGCGCACGUAGGCGGCUUUGCAAGUCAGAGGUGAAAGCCCGGGGCUCAACCCCGGAAUUGCCUUUGAGACUGCAUCGCUAGAAUUGUGGAGAGGUAAGUGGAAUUCCGAGUGUAGAGGUGAAAUUCGUAGAUAUUCGGAAGAACACCAGUGGCGAAGGCGACUUACUGGACACAUAUUGACGCUGAGGUGCGAAAGCGUGGGGAGCAAACAGG